rnacentral:rRNA from 1 species
AUUGAACGCUGGCGGCAGGCCUAACACAUGCAAGUCGAACGAGUGGCGGACGGGUGAGUAACGCCUGGGAAACUGCCCGAUGGAGGGGGAUAACUAAUGGAAAACGUAGCUAAUUACGCAUACCAUCCGCUGUGCCCAUCACGGAUUAGCAAGAUGGCGGGGUAACGGCUAACCAAGGCGACGACCCCCAGCUGGUCUGAGAGGAUGACCAGCCACACUGGAACUGAGACACGGUCCAGACUCCUACGGGAGGCAGCAGUGGGGAAUAUUGGACAAUGGGCGCAAGCCUGAGGCAGCCAUGCCGCGUGUAUGAAGAAGGCCUUCGGGUUGGAAAGUACUUUCAGCGGGGAGGCGUUACCCGCAGAAGAAGCACCGGCUAACUCCGUGCCAGCAGCCGCGGUAAUAC